rnacentral:lncRNA from 1 species
GGGGCGGAGCGGGGCGGAGAUGAUGGCUGCUGCAGAGGAUCGGGACAGAGAUUAGGUUCGGGAAACGCUUCCCUUCUGCGGAAGACGAAGCGUCCCUUCGAACGGAAGCUUUCUGGCUGAGGUAUAGUCGGGGAGCAAGAAGCUGUUUCUGAUCGCUGCAGGUCGGUGUGAGCGUGGGCGCUGCUUGCGGACCUUGGGGUCUUUAGGUCGGUUGGUGCAGCAGAUUGCAAGGCUAAGAGAGGAAGACCGCUUCUGAUCCCUGCAGGAAGAGUAAGCAGG